CGUGCUAACUACAUACAUGUAGGUUCUGAGGAGCUCUCGCCCUUCUCCUCACAGGCGUCAUUUCACUCAUCCUCGUGGUCGUGCGUGGGCAGGGUGAAACAUGAGUGGCCGUGUGAGAUCCAGAUCCAGAUCCAGAUCCAAACAAGGAAGAGAGGAUCGAGGAUCUGCCCAGCCAGCUGCGGGUGUGGUUACACCGCCCCCCACACAGGCCGAGCAGCUGAAACCAAAGGAGAAACCAACUAAGACUCAGGAUAUUAUACCUGAUCAAGGGAAGGAAGUUGAAGGAGCACCUGUUAUUCAAGGGCCUGAAAUGAAAUCUGAACUACAGGAAGUGGCUCAGCCAAUGACUGGGGAUAAAGCGAAGAUGGUCCUGAUGUGAAAGGGCUGAAAACUCCAAACCUAGAGCCCAUUAAAAUGCCAGAAGCAGGUAUGUGAUCCAUUAUGAACGUUAAAAGUAUGUGGUUUCUGUUUUCUUCAGUAUUACAUCUUUCAUAAUAUAAGUGUAAUAUUACUAUUACUUUCAUAAUAGAAUUCACCUAUAAGGAUACUUUGACAGGUAGUUUAGAACCUAAAUGCCUGACUCCCUGACUUAUUAGACAGUCAGGUAUAGAAACAAAUUGGGUCAAAUCGUGUUGAAUUAUAAAGACAAAGACAGUUGUAUCUGAGUGGUUCUGUUGGCUAAAUAUCCCACUCUUUAUUUUGGCCCAUUUCAUGAUUUCAGGGUAAUGAGAUAGAGUCCCACGUCAGACUCUGUGCUCAGUGCAGAGACUGCUUGGGAUUCUCUCUCUCCCUUGGCUCCACCCUUCCUAGUGUGCUCACUCAUUCUAUCUAUAAAUAAAUUUAAAAAAUCUUUUUGAAAAAAGGUGAAA
rnacentral:lncRNA from 1 species